rnacentral:rRNA from 1 species
GGACUACCAGGGUUUCUAAUCCCGUUCGCUCCCCAUGCUUUCGUGGCUGAGCGUCAGGUACGAGCCAGGGGGCCGCCUUCGCCUCUGGGGUUCCUCCGGAUCUCUACGCAUUUCACCACUACACCCGGAAUUCCACCCCCCUCUCUCGCCCUCUAGAACUGCAGUCUGGCAUAACCCCUCCAGGUUAAGCCUGGAGAUUUCAUACACCACUUGCACUCCCGCCUGCACACCCUUUACGCCCAGUAAAUCCGGAUAACGCUUGCCACCUACGUUUUACCGCGGCUGCUGGCAC